rnacentral:sRNA from 1 species
UUCCACCCCCAUGUGGACCCCUGUAGGGUGGGACAAGAUGACAGAUGGGCAAGACCUUCCAGAAUCAAGCACUUGUUGCUAAGUGCUAUCUGGGAUACCAGAAGGUGGCAGAUGGCAGGAGCUGGUUACCUGUGCCACUUCUGGAGGGAGGCCUCUUCUUGCAGUUGCCUUGCCCACCUCACCCCACUGGGAAAACAGGUGGCUUGCCUCCUGUCCUGGAGAGUCACUAACGCAUUCCCCACAUUCCACCCACUGGGAAACAGCAUAAACCCGGUGACCGGGAGGGUGGAGGAGAAGCCGCCUAACCCUAUGGAGGGCAUGACGGAGGAGCAAAAGGAGCACGAGGCCAUGAAGCUGGUGACCAUGUUUGACAAGCUCUCCAGGAACAGAGUCAUCCAGCCGAUGGGGAUGAGUCCCCGGGGUCAUCUUACGUCCCUGCAGGAUGCCAUGUGCGAGACUAUGGAGCAGCAGCUCUCCUCGGACCCUGACUCGGACCCUGACUGAGGAUGGCAGCUCUUCUGCUCCCCCAUCAGAACUGGUGCUGCUUCCAGAGACUUCCUUGGGGUUGCAACCUGGGGAAGCCACAUCCCACUGGCUCCACACCCGCCCCCACUUUUCCAUCUUAGAAACCCCUUCUCUUUACUUGCAAGGUUCUGUUCAUGAUUUGCUUCUG